GGGGCAAUGCUUGUGGAGGAUGUCCGAGCCAAGAGAAGUGUUUUUGUGGAGAGGGCACCAAAGAGUAGAAAAGCUUUCCAAUGGUUAGAGUGUUGUUUCCGACCUCCAUGAGUUUUUUGAGGUAUCGUUGAGCUCUAGACGUUAAAUUAAGCACUUGUUGGGAGGUAACCCAACCGUUUUCUUUGUUUUGUUUUCCUUUUGUUUAGUUUCUUUUUGUGUCUUUGUUUUCUUUGUUUUGGGGUUUUUAGUACAGUGUUGAGCUUGGAAGAUGCGGGAACUCGCGCCUUGUUCAUACCACCACCAUGGAGCAUAUUUUUCUGUGAGUAGUGACACACAUAUCAUCAUCCCUCCAAACUUAUUUUCGAACUUAUGUUAUGUAAUAAGUU
rnacentral:lncRNA from 1 species